CUUUAAUUAAUUUUUAUCUAAGUUCAUUAGGUAUAUUGGUCUAUAAUUAGUUUUGCUUGAUGUGUCCUUAAUGUUUUUUUGGUAUGAGUGUAAUUCUAGCUUCAUAGAAUAAAUUUGGAAGUAUUCCAUCCUUUUAUGUUCUAUGGAAUAAUUUGAGGAGUGUUUGUAUUAGUUCUUUAAAAGUCUGGUAGAAUUCAGCUGAGAAUCCACAUAGUCUUGGGCUUUCUUUAUCGGAGGAUUUUUUUAUUACGGAUAUCACCAGUUAUCAGUGAUGAGUUCUGCUUCCUCAAGGAUUGAGGCUUGAACAUUAGAGAAAAGCAUUGAGGCAUGCAUAGAAAGUAGGUUUUAUUUAAAAAAUAGUAACAGAGACUUCUCCCAGAAGGGAGAAGGGGGCCAUAGCUGGUGUCCUGGUAUCCCAAGAAGUGAGAGUGUCCUGCCCCAUUCACACAUUUUAGAUUUUCUUUGUUGUCCUGCUGUCUUCCCCUGUAUCUGUCUCUUUUCUGUGUAUGUGAUUAGGCCCAGGAGAUGCCUGGUGGGAUGGCCAAAAGGUGGGAAGUAGAUGGGCAGGUGGAGGGCCAAAUGAAGUGAUCCAGGCUGAAAGAAGCCCAGAGGGCAUGAAUUAGCAGCUCCCCUUCUGCUCAGGGUGUGCUUUAUCAACAACCUCCUGGAAAUGGCAGUAUGGGCAAGUAAUCUUUGUAAUCAAAAGACUCUGAAUGCAUUAAAUCUCCAAUCUCCCAGGGGUGGUCUCCAACUUUCUAGACCCAAACAAGCCUCCAUUUUCUUGAUCUCACCCAAUUACAUAUCUAUACUGAUUGCCUGUCCUUAAUUCUUGCU
rnacentral:lncRNA from 1 species